rnacentral:tRNA from 1 species
UACAAAAUAGUAUAUAGAGAACAAGAAACUUUGAAUUUCUAGGUGGAAGCCCGUACCUUCCUUUUGUAU